rnacentral:sRNA from 1 species
UUGACAGUUCUGGAGACUGAAGUCCUCCAGAUACAACAGGAAAGUGGCAGCUUCCCCCUCCCCCUGCCAGUAUGCCUCAACCCUGACCUGGAGGGACUGCUUGUAAGGAUGGGGUCAUUCUGUCUCCGUGCCCACAAAAUCCUUGGCGCCU